GACCAGGGCUACACACGUGCUACAAUGGCAUAUACAAAGAGAAGCGACCUCGCGAGAGCAAGCGGACCUCAUAAAGUAUGUCGUAGUCCGGAUUGGAGUCUGCAACUCGACUCCAUGAAGUCGGAAUCGCUAGUAAUCGUAGAUCAGAAUGCUACGGUGAAUACGUUCCCGGGCCUUGUACACACCGCCCGUCACACCAUGGGAGUGGGUUGCAAAAGAAGUAGGUAGCUUAACCUUCGGGAGGGCGCUUACCACUUUGUGAUUCAUGACUGGGGUGAAGUCGUAACAAGGUAACCGUAGGGGAACCUGCGGUUGGAUCACCUCCUUACCUUAAAGAA
rnacentral:rRNA from 1 species